CCUCUCACUUAACAUCCUUUCCUUUUUUCCAGCUCUCCUUGGUAUUUAGGCUGUGAGCUCCUUGAGAGAAGAGACUGUCUUGGUUUCUUGGUUUUGUAUCCUUGGUGUUUGGUCCAAUGCCUGGCUUAGAGUAAUUGCUUAAUAAGAAUUCUGUUGAUUAUCUAUCUAAUCUAUUCAUCUAUCUAUCUCUCUAUCUAUGAUCUAUGUAUAUAUAUAUCUAUCUGUCUAUUUGUCCAUCUAUCUAUCCAUUUAUCUCUCUAUCAAUUAAUCAGUCUUUCUCCAUCUCUGUCUAUCUAGCUAUCCAUCUAUCUGAUGUCUGUCCAUUUGUCCAUCUAUUUAUCCAUGCAUUUAUCUAUGUAUCGUCUAUUUCUCUAUCUCUCUAUCUCUUUCUAUCUCUAUCCAUCCAACUAUCUAUUUAUCCAUCUAUUCAUCCAUCCAUCCAUCUAUCUAUCUGUCCGUCCAUCUCUCUGUCUCUGUCCAUUUGUCUGACUUGCUUUCCCAUUUCCUUUAUUGUUUUACAUACUAUACGCUGACCAUUGUCUAACUGAAUAUAUAAAGAUGAUUUCUGGAUUAUAAACAAGAGACGAUCCAUUUGACUGAAGAAAAAGGAAUAUUUCCUGAUCUUUUUCUGGUGAUUUUUUUUUUUUUUGGAUACUCAAGGUCCUUGUCUCUUCCUUAGAUUCCUAUAGAUGAUGCCUUUCAAGAAAUGGGUCCCCAGCUCCCAAACAUGAUCACCUCUGCCUCCUUUAUUGCUCAGGCUCACUUAUCUUGAAUGAACUUGAGGGAACAAUUGCAUCUUAUGACUUACACCCAAACCCACUCUCCUUCCUCAUUUUCUCAGGACUGUAGCUCCAAUAAGAUCACUAAAUACAUCUUUGAGAUGUCUCCCCUCUCUGAUUCUGAUCUCGUUAAGCCCUACUCUGCCACCAGUGAUUCAUGACAUAGUCCCCUGGAUUUCUGGAUUGUAUAAAUAUAGCUGAAAUGAGCGGUCAUUGCUACCUUUGGAUUUUCCCCGGUUCCCUAGCUGCUCAGCUGUGAGAAAUACUCCAAACAACUUGCCGGUUAGUUAUAGGAAGACCUUAUUUGUGCCAUGACAAGUCAGAUCAUCUCUGAGAACCUUCUAACUCUGUGGAAAGAAGUUGAAUUUUGACAGUUAACUUAUCUGGGGCAACAGCUUGCUUCUGUGUUUGAGAAAAGCAGGUGCUGAGUGAUCUGAGGCAGUAGUUGCUAAUAUUUCACUGGGCACUGGCUUUUAUUUAUAUAUGACUUGUCGAGAAGAGAGAAUGACCUUUGUCCUCUUUUGCUUCUCAUGAAGAAGAACAACAGGAACAAAAAUGAAAAGAGCAAGAGGAACUUGGCUUUUACAGUCGACUGCUGCUAAGAAGAGGAAGAGAUGUUGGAAGACAGUUCUCCAAAUUGGAUCCUCUAGAGAGAAGAAGAUGAAGAACUUCGACAAAGGAGUCAAGUUGGAGAGGCCUAUGUCAAUUUAAGCGAUAAAUGUCAUUGACUUAAAAUAACAUGGUGCUACUUUAGCUGAAGUCAUCAUCAAAGCCUAAAACUGAAAAAUGAAGGAUACUGUAAUUGUUGUCAAGAAGCAAGCCCAACUGAGCAGAGGAACAAGAAUGUAAGCAGAACCAAGGGAACGUUGCAAACAGUAACAACAAGGCUGUGGGAUGAUCAAUUGUGAUGGAUUUGGCUCUUCUCCACAAUGGGGUGAUUCAAAGCAAUUGCAAUGGGCUUGGGAUGGAAAGUGCCAUCUGCAUCCAUGAAGACUGAAUGUGAUCAUGAAAUGUGUUCGAGGGAAUGGCUGUCUGGAAGGACAGACACUGGCAAAAUUUGAUGAUACAAAAAAAAGUUACCAAAAAAACCAAGAAGAAAUGGAGCCUUAGAGAAGCUUCUCUGCAAGUGCAGUUCAUCCAGCUAAGAUUUUAGACCUAGGGAGGUAGUAGUCCCACACAAGAUUGAUUAAGAGGAAACGUAUUUGUUUCAUAAAUUCUAAACUCACCAAGGAGCUUUAAUGGCUAAUUCCCAAACUAGAAGGAGAACUCAAAGGGCCACUUGUUACCUGGCUAUGUGUCUUUCUAAAAUGUACACCUUGUUGCCCUGGGGCUUUAAGAAUAUGUUCAUCCUUUACUGGAC